rnacentral:rRNA from 1 species
GAUGAACGCUAGCUACAGGCUUAACACAUGCAAGUCGAGGGACCGGCGCACGGGUGAGUAACACGUAUCCAACCUGCCCUUUACUCGGGGAUAGCCUUUCGAAAGAAAGAUUAAUACCCGAUAUAAAGGAUGGGGAUGCGUUCCAUUAGGUUGUUGGUGAGGUAACGGCUCACCAAGCCUUCGAUGGAUAGGGGUUCUGAGAGGAAGGUCCCCCUCAUUGGAACUGUGACACGGUCCAAACUCCUACAGGAGGCAGCAAUGAGGAAUAUUGGUCAAUGGGCGCUAGCCUGCACCGGCCAAGUAGCGUGAAGGAUGGACGCGUUUGGGUCGUAAACUUCUUUUAUAUAAGAAUGUGUAGUAUAUCAAUAAGGAUCGGCUAACUCCGUGCCAGCAGCCGCGGUAAUAC